UACGGAGGGGGCUAGCGUUGUUCGGAAUUACUGGGCGUAAAGCGCGCGUAGGCGGACCUGCAAGUCGGGGGUGAAAGCCCGAGGCUCAACCUCGGAACUGCCUUCGAUACUGCGGGUCUCGAGUCCGGGAGAGGUGAGUGGAAUUCCUAGUGUAGAGGUGAAAUUCGUAGAUAUUAGGAAGAACACCAGUGGCGAAGGCGGCUCACUGGCUCGGUACUGACGCUGGAGGCGACGA
rnacentral:rRNA from 1 species